AGCUUUAUCGCUAGCGAGUGUAUUUGUAGAAGGUCUCAUCUGACUGUGUUUGCUAAAGUCAUGGAAAAUGGCGGGCCAUUAUGGUCCUCAAGUCGUAGAGGGUGACAACCCCGUUCUUGGCAUUCUACUAGUUCUUUUGUAUGAUUCCUUCAAAGAGUCGGAUUGUUUGGGAAUGCAAUCCAAAACGGGUGGUAAAUUCCAUCCAAGGCUAAAUAUUAGCAAGAGACCGAUAGCGAACAAGUACCGUGAGG
rnacentral:ncRNA from 1 species